GGGACAAACAGUUGCAGAGGGGGACCCAGCUUCUCCUGUCUUCUGCAAGCUCCUGGGGCCUGCAGGUCAGAUUAUCUCCACCUACUGUGCAAAGAUACCCAAGCUUUUAACUUUGCCUUUAAAACGAGAAACUGGAUAAGCCAGAGUAUUUAACUCCCCAAAGAUUUAAGGUGGGAGUGAGGAAGAAGACCGAUAAGGAAUAAGUAUGCUAACCUGGACCAGAAAGGAAGCCUCUGUGAUUCCAAAGGACUACAGAAUGAUCCUGAAUCUAAACCCGAAGACCCCGAGUAGCAGCAUAAAUACAGGGAUGCUGCCUGGUGUCCAGAAGAGGAAGAUGCUGCAAGACUUUCUUCUUCAUAUCCUUCCAGAUGCCCCAGGUGUCUACAUGAACACUGGCUCUGAAAGAACUUGUCAGCUCAUCUCAUCCCAUCUGAGAAAUGGAGACCAUCUUAAAAGUACUCAGAACUCUCCCAGAAAAUUACUAGAGGAGUAA
rnacentral:lncRNA from 1 species